UAGCUAGUUGGUGAGGUAAAGGCUUACCAAGGCGACGAUCUGUAGCGGGUCUGAGAGGAUGAUCCGCCACACUGGAACUGAGACACGGUCCAGACUCCUACGGGAGGCAGCUGUGGGGAAUUUUGGACAAUGGGGGCAACCCUGAUCCAGCCAUGCCGCGUGAGUGAAGAAGGCCUUCGGGUUGUAAGCUCUUUCGGCCGGGAAGAAAUCGCAUGGGCCAAUACCCUGUGUGGAUGACGGUACCGGAAUAAGAAGCACCGGCUAACUACGUGCCAGCAGCCGCGGUAAUACGUAGGGUGCGAGCGUUAAUCGGAAUUACUGGGCGUAAAGCGUGCGCAGGCGGUUUUGUAAGACAGGCGUGAAAUCCCCGGGCUUAACCUGGGAACUGCGUUUGUGACUGCAAGGCUAGAGUACGGCAGAGGGGGGUGGAAUUCCACGUGUAGCAGUGAAAUGCGUAGAGAUGUGGAGGAACACCAAUGGCGAAGGCAGCCCCCUGGGUCGAUACUGACGCUCAUGCACGAAAGCGUGGGUAGCAAACAGGAUUAGAUACCCUGGUAGUCCACGCCCUAAACUAUGUCAACUAGGUGUUGGGUGGGUAAAACCAUUUAGUACCGUAGCUAACGCGUGAAGUUGACCGCCUGGGGAGUACGGCCGCAAGGUUAAAACUCAAAGGAAUUGACGGGACCCGCACAAGCGGUGGAUGAUGUGGAUUAAUUCGAUGCAACGCGAAAAACCUUACCUACCCUUGACAUGCCAGGAACUUGCCAGAGAUGGCUUGGUGCCCGAAAGGGAGCCUGGACACAGGUGCUGCAUGGCUGUCGUCAGCUCGUGUCGUGAGAUGUUGGGUUAAGUCCCACAACGAGCGCAACCCUUGUCGUUAAUUGCCAUCAUUUAGUUGGGCACUUUAACGAGACUGCCGGUGACAAACCGGAGGAAGGUGGGGAUGACGUCAAGUCCUCAUGGCCCUUAUGGGUAGGGCUUCACACGUCAUACAAUGGUCGGUACAAAGGGUUGCCAAGCCGCGAGGCGGAGCCAAUCCCAGAAAGCCGAUCGUAGUCCGGAUUGCAGGCUGCAACUCGCCUGCAUGAAGUCGGAAUCGCUAGUAAUCGUGGAUCAGCAUGUCACGGUGAAUACGUUCCCGGGUCUUGUACACACCGCCCGUCACACCAUGGGAGCGGGUUCCGCCAGAAGUAGGUAGCCUAACCGCAAGGGGGGCGCUUACCACGGCGGGGUUCGUGACUGGGGUGAAGUCGUAACAAGGUAGCCGUAGGGGAACCUGCGGCUG
rnacentral:rRNA from 1 species